ensembl:lncRNA EDRF1-AS1 EDRF1 antisense RNA 1
GGAGGCACUGGAGACAAAGAUCAGCCACGUGGCAGUCAACCAUGUCUAUCUGACCAAGUUCCAAUGAAAACUCUGGACACCAAGGCUUGGGUGAGCUUCCGCAGUUGUACAUGUAUUGAUUGAUACACUUGGUGAGCACUGUCAUGCAUCACUGCCGGGGAGAUAUUUCUCAAAAGACUCCUCUGCGGGAGAGGAGAAUAGCUGUACUCUAAGCAGUUCGCAGGGAGCAUCUUUCAGCAGCUGAAACAGCUUUGCGGCCUUGCUGUAAUGAAGAUCUGCCAGCACCCGGUGUUGUUUCCUAAGGUGUUCAUCACCAACCUAGAACCAAACCAAAACAAGCAACAAAUCCUUCACGAGAAAGAAAGAAAACAACUGUGUAAGCAGACAUCAGUGUAAACCUUAGCACUGUCUCUUGAUGAGAUAAGAGGAGGAUGGCAGUGACAGGAGUGUGGUGGCGAGCCAGUCACCUGCAGUCAACCACGGCUCAUUGCUCUCACCAUGCCUGUUACAUGAAGGUAUGUAUGUAUAGGAAAAAGCACUGAAAAACUCUCCAGUUUCAGGCAUCCACU